UGCAUGUCUCAGUGCAAGCCACAUUAAGGUGAAACCGCGAAUGGCUCAUUAAAUCAGUUAUGGUUCCUUAGAUUGUACCCACAUUACUUGGAUAACUGUGGUAAUUCUAGAGCUAAUACAUGCAAACAGAGCCCUGACCAGAAAUGGAAAGGGCGCUUUUAUUAGAUCAAAACCAAUCGGUCGGCUCGUCCGGUCCGUUUGCCUUGGUGACUCUGAAUAACUUUUUUCUGAUCGCAUGGUCUUCGUACCGGCGACGCAUCUUUCAAAUGUCUGCCUUAUCAACUUACGAUGGUAGGUUCUGCGCCUACCAUGGUUGUAACGGGUAACGGGGAAUCAGGGUUCGAUUCCGGAGAGGGAGCCUGAGAAACGGCUACCACAUCCAAGGAAGGCAGCAGGCGCGCAAAUUACCCACUCCCGGCACGGGGAGGUAGUGACGAAAAAUAACGAUACGGGACUCAUCCGAGGCCCCGUAAUCGGAAUGAGGACACUUUAAAUCCUUUAACGAGUAUCC
rnacentral:rRNA from 4 species